rnacentral:rRNA from 1 species
UUNNAGUUCGGGAUAAAAUACCGAAUNNNAAAAAAUUUAUAUUGCUNNAAGAUAUGUUUGUGGAAGAUUAGGUAGUUGGUNGAUUAAAAGCCUACCAAGCCUACGAUCUUUAGUUGGUUUGAAAGAAUGAUCAACCACACUGGCACUGAGACAAGGGCCAGGCUUUUUAAGCCAGCAGUGAGGAAUUUUGGACAAUGAGCGAAAGCUUGAUCCAGCUAUACUACGUGAGGGAUGACAGCUUAUUUGGUUGUAAACCUCUUUUAUUAAGGAAGAUGAUGACUUACUUAAAGAAAAAGUCCUGGCUAACUUCGUGCCAGCAGCCGCGGUAAUACGAAGAGGACAAGCGUUAUUCGUUGUAAUUUGGCGUAAAGGGUUCGUAGGUGGCAUUAAGGUUGUUUAAAAUAAAAUUUGAAAGCUUAACUUUCAGUAAUUUAAAAACACUUUUGCUUGAGUAUAAAAAAAGAUUAUGGAAUUUCAGAAGGAUAGGUAAAAUUUGAAGAGUUUUGAAGGAACAUCUAUAGCGAAAGCAAUAAUCUNGUUUAUNNAAUACUGACGCUGAGGAACGAAAGAAUAGGUAGCAAACAGGAUUAGAUACCCUGGUAGUCUAUUCCGUAAACNAUGAAUGCUCGUGUUUAGAAUUAAUAUUUUAGACACCAAGUUAACACGUUAAGCAUUCCGCCUGAGGAGUAUAGUCGCAAGGCUGGAACUCAAAGGAAUUGACGGGGGCCAAUACAAACGGUGGAGCAUGUGGUUUAAUGCGAUAAUACGCGCGAAAUCUUACCAGCCUUUGAAUUCUAAAUAAUAUUAUUUUAACAGAAGUCGAUAAUUUAUUCAAAUAUUGUUUUGAAUAAAAGUUUAGAACAGGUGUUGCAUGGCUGUCGUCAGCUCGUGUUGUGAAAUGUUUGGUUAAGUCCUUUAACGAGCGCAACCCUUUUUUUUAGUUGCUAAUAAAAUACUCUAGAAAUAGAUUUACGAUGAGUAAAUGGAAGAAGGAUGACGUCAAGUCCUCAUGGCCCUUAUAGGCUGGGCUACACACGUGCUACAAUGGUAAUUACAGAAGGAAGCAAAUAUGAAAAUUGGAGCAAAUCCCUAAAAAUUAUCGUAGUUCGGAUUAUAGACUGCAAUUCGUCUAUAUGAAGUUGGAAUCGUAAGUAAUUGCGAAUCAGAAUGUCGCGGUGAAUAUGUACCUUGGCCUUGCACACACCGCCCGUCACAUGCCGGGAGUUAGUUUUACUUUAAAAACAUAAAAUAAUCAAAAGAUUUNUNAUUUUUUGAAGUUUUNGUUUCACGGCGAAAUUAGUAACUGGGAUGAAGUCGAAA